rnacentral:rRNA from 1 species
AACGAACGCCGGCGGCAGGCCUAACACAUGCAAGUCGAACGCUGCAGCAAUGCAGAGUGGCAGACGGGUGAGUAACGCGUGGGAACCUUCCCAGUGGUACGGAAUAGCCCAGGGAAACUUGGGGUAAUACCGUAUAAGCCCCUAGGGGGAAAGAUUUAUCGCCAUUGGAUGGGCCCGCGUCGGAUUAGCUAGUUGGUGAGGUAACGGCUCACCAAGGCGACGAUCCGUAGCUGGUCUGAGAGGAUGAUCAGCCACACUGGGACUGAGACACGGCCCAGACUCCUACGGGAGGCAGCAGUGGGGAGUAUUGGACAAUGGGCGCAAGCCUGAUCCAGCCAUGCCGCGUGAGUGACGAAGGCUUUAGGGUUGUAAAGCUCUUUUGGCGGGGACGAUAAUGACGGUACCCGCAGAAUAAGCUCCGGCUAACUUCGUGCCAGCCGCCGCCGUAA